rnacentral:lncRNA from 1 species
AAAUUAUUGUAUGAUAAUAAUUUUUUUUCAAAAAUAUAAAAUUAUAUCAAAGAAGAGAGCUCCACACCGGCACAAGAAGUGCUAGGUAAAGACUCAUGAAAAUUACAUGAGUUACAGACAACCAAGAAGGGGCCAAAGCCACUACUAGCUUAAUACAAUAGACUUAGUUAUGAAUCAUGGUAAAACACUAAAUGGGAUGGGUCCACUAGUGAUGAAAAUCAAAUGCUAAAUUACUAAUACUUACUUGUUGUUAACAUAAAAAAUGAAAUAUUUGGUCGAACUCAUGAUUCUAUUUUCGACAAGGUAGAUGGGUUAUUUCGACAUGCUGCAAAGUGCAAAGUGAUUUCGACCAAGAGCAUACAGACUUCGACAUGCUGCAUUUUCGAUAAAGUAACUUAAUGUAUUUCAUGCAUGUGGCUGAUGAAGCCUUUGAGAACAAUUAGUUUAUCAAGUGAUUGAUUUUUGUGGAAAGAGCCUUGGAGAAAUAAAGAAAUUGUAACGCCCACUUUUAAUUAAUCGAUUAUUUAAUUGAGUCUAGACGAG